UGUUCAAAGAAGAAAGCUUAAGAAUUUUAGCUCCCCAGAAUGAAUUAAUGUAGACUGCAUUGAGUCAAGAAAACUCUGUUUUUAUUUUAUUUUAUUUUUGGUAGCAGAGAUUGAACUCAGGGGCAUUUUACCACUAAGCUGCAUCCCCAGCAUCCCCAAUCUCUGGGACCGCCCCCCCACACCUCUUUUUUUUGAGACUGGGUCUCACUGUGUUGUGUAGAGGCCUUGCUAAAUUGCUAAGGCUGAUCUUAAACUUGCAAUCCUCCUACCUCAGUCUCCAGGGUGGCAGGAAUUACAGGUGUGGGUCACAAUGUGCAGUGAAAAUUGAGGGUUUUGAAAGUCUUCUCAAACAUCCCACCUAACAGGAAUCCCAAAUGGCUUCUUAUUGAUAGGGUCAACAUCCUCCCUCAGAUGCUGUCCCCACACUGCACCCUGGCUUAGAUGUUGGAAUUUUUUUUUUUUUUUUGAAUCAGGUUGAGGCUGUCUCAAGCUUGCUCAGAAUUCUAUGGAGCAGUUUGGGAGCAGGGUGAGUAAGGUUACCCUGAGAAUGAAGAAUUGAAAGCUUUACACUUGGCAAUGAUUCUUCCAAAGCCCUACACUAGUUUCAAGUUGGGGUACUUAUUUUUUUGGACAGAGAGCAGGCAGCAGCUCUCUUCUUGAUUUUCUUUUAAGCCUCAGACAGAGUUUGGUAAAUGGAGGACAGUGGCUUCAGAUACUUACCACACCUUCCAAAGAGCCCGGGUUUACUUCUCAGGUAUCAGACUCAGUGGACAUUUAUGGCUACAAUAGGUGCACCUUCUCAUCCCCACCCCAAGUUCAAAUGUUCUGGAAAGCAAUAAAAACUGGAAUGUUCUUAUCUCCUGUCUCCUCUUCAUGCAGACAACUAGGAGAAGCUGCCAGAGGUUUUAUAGCUCCAAAUGUAAAUCUGAGCAGAUAAGAUCAUACACUUAUGGAAUAAGUAAAUCACUACGUAGUUUCAGUUUGGGAAAUUAGGUUUGUCCCCCAAGUAAUGAAUUAUCUUGCUUUAAGUAAGCCUUAAAAUAACAAGUGGUGAACUUGAUAGAUCAAUUCUGUUUAUACUUCCCUGUCCACAACAAACCUCCUUAUUUAUUAAUGAAGCACUCAUUCCAUUGAAAGAAAGUAGUAGCAACAACUGAUAAGAAAAUUUUUUUUCAGGAAUAUAUGGAAAACCCUUGCACCUAAUAAGCCAAAUCCUGCCUUUCUAGAGGGAGAAGAUAGAUCAGUGAAGAUGCUGGGUUUUCUUAUACUUCACCAAGUCCAGUUGAUAAAACAAAGGUACACGGAGCACUGCCUUCAUGUCCAGCAAUAGAGACCUCAAUUCUAAAGCAUCGAUCCCUCAAAUUUUCUAUUCCAUUUCUCAUCUUACAACAUUCCUAGGCAUUUGCUGAUGCAAAAACUGCACAGGUGGAGAGGCUGAGAAGCCAAGCAGAAAGCCCUGCCAAGGGGCAGAGAAGUAGGGCAGAGCCUUUGUUGUUCUCCAGGGGCCUGGGAUGCACAAACAUGAGUUCAGAGCUGGCAGCAAAGCCAAGAGAGAGCCAUGCCUCUGUCUGUCAAUGAAGAAGUCUUUCCUGGACAUUUGUAACCUUCAGUUGAGCUGGGAAUCCCAUUUCUAUUUCCUGCUUGUACCAGGAACCAUGAGACAACUGGUCUGGAAAGAGGUAUCAAGGAACAUCUUCGUUCAUUCAUUUUCAGUGAGCAGCACAGAGGUUGGAGUCAAAAGAAUAUGUGUCCUCUGUCUCAAAAUUUUUUUUCUGAUUUCCUGUCAGCAAUAAAUUCACAUGAAGAUCAUGCCUUAGAGGGAGGCAACUGUACUUCCUAAUUAAGAAGGAACAUACUAUCCUUGGCUUAGGUGUCCGCUGCAGAGCAGGUCUUUUUUAAAAACUGUAAUGUUUUUGACUUGACAUUUAAUUCCACAGACACUUACUAAACAUUUAUACAGUUCCUCUCUCAAGGAACUUUUAAUCUUGCAGCACAGAGAAAAGUCAUGGGCGAAAUGACAUGGAUCCGAGUACGUGACACUCAGCUUUUAUUUUACCACAUCAGUUCCUUCGAUUGGUCCCUUAUAACACGGUUUUAAGAUCUUUUCUCAUUCUGGUUCACAAAACCAAGAAAGUUGAACAGAUUUGUCAGGUGCAGUUCCUGAAAUUACACGUAUGGCAAUAGGAGCCAUUUAUGGAGGACAUCUUCAAUUCUCGUUGCUAGGGAGUGAGUAUGGUACCAGGAAUCUGGAAGCACAGAGGUAAAAGCAAUGGAAUGGAGGAGGAAAUACAUAUACAAUGUACAUUCCCAAAGUCAGAGUGACAGGGAACCUGUGUCAGCUACAAGUGUGGCUGGCUGACUCCACCACAGCUAGAGGAGUGACUCUAGUCAGGGCUAGACUUUCUCCAAGCAUGUUGGACCCAAUGAUGAUUCACAACAAACCUAUCAACUCCAGAAGCAUGAGCCAUUAGGACACACUGGGUCUCCAUGUUCAACCACUAACUGAAUUAAGUUUUCAAAAAUUCUCAGAAUAAAGUCGUUUCCCAAACAAUUAG